ensembl:snRNA U6 U6 spliceosomal RNA
GUGCUUGCUUCGGCAGUACCUAUACUUAAAUUGGAAUGAUACACAGAAGAUUGGCCGGGCCUCUGUGCAAGGAGGACAUGUAAAUUCGUGGAACAUUCCAUAUUUUU